rnacentral:misc_RNA from 1 species
UGCCCUGAAAAAGCAAACGAAAAAAAGUACAACUUUCAACAACGGAUCUCUUGGCUCUCGCAUCGAUGAAGAACGCAGCGAAAUGCGAUAAGUAAUGUGAAUUGCAGAUUUUCAGUGAAUCAUCGAAUCUUUGAACGCACCUUGCACCCCUUGGUAUUCCGAGGGGCAUGCCUGUUUGAGUGUCAUUAAAUCCUCAACCGCGCCGAUCGAUUUCGGUGGGGCUUGGACUUUGGAGCGUGCUGGCGAAGGUCGGCUCCUCUUUAAAUGCAUCAGCGGAAGAAACCUUUGU